rnacentral:rRNA from 1 species
GAUGAACGCUGGCGGCGUGCCUAAUACAUGCAAGUCGAGCGAACAGAUGAGGAGCUUGCUCCUUUGACGUUAGCGGCGGACGGGUGAGUAACACGUGGAUAACCUACCUAUAAGACUGGGAUAACUUCGGGAAACCGGAGCUAAUACCGGAUAAUAUAUCGAACCGCAUGGUUCAAUAGUGAAAGACGGUUUUGCUGUCACUUAUAGAUGGAUCUGCGCCGCAUUAGCUAGUCGGUAAGGUAACGGCUUACCAAGGCAACGAUACGUAGCCGACCUGAGAGGGUGGUCGGCCACACUGGAACUGAGACACGGUCCAGACUCCUACGGGAGGCAGCAGUAGGGAAUCUUCCGCAAUGGGCGAAAGCCUGACGGAGCAACGCCGCGUGAGUGAUGAAGGUCUUCGGAUCGUAAAACUCUGUUAUUAGGGAAGAACAAAUGUGUAAGUAACUGUGCACGUCUUGACGGUACCUAAUCAGAAAGCCACGGCUAACUACGUG